UUUCCAGAAACUUCCUACUUUCUGCUCAAGUAAGUGAAUCAAAAAUGAAGCCUAUUGUGUUGAUUUUUAUAUUCCUGAUUUGGUGCUCCGAGAUUUUUUGUGCAGGUAUCGAUCGGCCCAGAAGAAUCGCGUAUCCGAUAGAAACAAGACAGGAGAAUGAUUAAACAACAGAUUGAAAAAGGGCAACUAUCGAUAUUGCCGAAAGUAUUCACCUAAAGAACGAAUUAACCUCAAAUGGAUUGAUAUAGAAAUAUACGUUUUGGAUUUGA